UACGUAGGGUGCGAGCGUUGUCCGGAAUUAUUGGGCGUAAAGGGCGCGUAGGUGGCGUCGCAAGUCAACGGUGAAAGCUCGACGCUCAACGUCGAGUCGGCCGUCGAGACUGCGAGGCUGGAGCACUGUAGAGGCUCAUGGAAUUCCGGGUGUAGCGGUGGAAUGCGUAGAGAUCCGGAAGAACACCGGUGGCGAAGGCGGUGAGCUGGGCAGUUGCUGACACUGAGGCGCGACAGCGUGGGGAGCAAACAGG
rnacentral:rRNA from 1 species